GACACGUACAAUGAAAAACUAAACUACGGUGGAUUCGCUUUGCGAGUCUCGGGGUGUUGUGGGCGUGUGAACUCACGUUGUGCAAUGCUUCAUGCUCACCUUUUUUUCUACUCCAUGUACUUCUGAAAACGAAGCACUUUAAUUUCUUUACAACUUUUAGCGAUGGAUCUCUCGGCUCAAGAAACGAUGAAGGACGCCGCAAAAUGCGAUAGGCACUGUGAAUGGCAGAAUUCCGCGAAUCAAUAGAAUGCUGAACGCAUACUGCGCCUUCGGGUCACUCCCGGCGGCAUGUUCGGUUGAGGGCGUUUUUACUUUACUGCUGCUAGAGAUGCAUGGCACGAAGUCUUGUUAUCUAGUACGCGUUUUUGUGCGUUAGCGACGUAUCCAUCCGUUGACGCAUCAAAGUGAGUGGACUUGAGUUCCUAGCCGGCUGACUGGUUACUUCCUUCGGGACUUGUAUUGGUAGCGCGCUGGCGAUUCUAUUUAGUCUGCACCUGUCUAUCUUUGUUCACGCAUCAACUCGAAUGAGAGCACGGGCUGAAUUUAAGCAUAUAAGUAAGCCCAGGAAAAGAACAAUGAAUAUGAUUCCCUCAGUAACGGCGAGUGAACCGGGAAGAGCUCACUAUGUAA
rnacentral:misc_RNA from 1 species